GUGCCAGCAGCCGCGGUAAUACGUAGGGGGCAAGCGUUGUCCGGAAUUAUUGGGCGUAAAGCGCGCGCAGGCGGCUCGUUAAGUCUGGUGUUUAAACCUGGGGCUCAACCUCGGGUCGCAUUGGAAACUGGCGGGCUUGAGUGCAGAAGAGGAAAGUGGAAUUCCACGUGUAGCGGUGAAAUGCGUAGAGAUGUGGAGGAACACCAGUGGCGAAGGCGACUUUCUGGGCUGUAACUGACGCUGAGGCGCGAAAGCGUGGGGAGCAAACAGGAUUAGAAACCCCUGUAGUCC
rnacentral:rRNA from 1 species